rnacentral:rRNA from 1 species
GACGAACGCUGGCGGCGUGCCUAAUACAUGCAAGUCGAACGAGAGCGACCGGUGCUUGCACUGGUCAAUCUAGUGGCGAACGGGUGAGUAACACGUGGGUAACCUGCUCAUCAGAGGGGGAUAACAUCCGGAAACGGAUGCUAAAACCGCAUAGGUCUUCGAGCCGCAUGGCUUGAAGAGGAAAAGAGGCGCAAGCUUCUGCUGAUGGAUGGACCCGCGGUGCAUUAGCUAGUUGGUGAGGUAACGGCUCACCAAGGCCGUGAUGCAUAGCCGACCUGAGAGGGUGAUCGGCCACAUUGGGACUGAGACACGGCCCAAACUCCUACGGGAGGCAGCAAUAGGGAAUCUUCCGCAAUGGACGCAAGUCUGACGGAGCAACGCCGCGUGAGUGAAGAAGGUUUUCGGAUCGUAAAACUCUGUUGUUAGAGAAGAACAAGUGCUAGAGUAACUGUUAGCGCCUUGACGGUAUCUAACCAGAAAGCCACGGCUAACUACGUG